CUCCAUCCCUCCCUCACUCACUCACUCACUGCACUCUCAGAAAAGACAGAUUACAAAAAAGAAAGAAAAAAAAGCAUUAGUUGUUCAUCAAGAACGAGGAAAGUAAGGGGAGGAAUAACUAUGAUGAUCCUUUCUGUGAUGCUUCUAAAUAUCAACUCUUAACCAAACUUCUCUCUCCUCAUUUACUCCUCUCUCUCUCUCUCCUCCUCCUUAAAUUCUCUCCUUUUCUUUGCUCUCUUUUCAUGGCUGCGUUUCAAGGAAGGAGAAGAAGAAGAAGAAGAAGAUGAGCUCUUUCAUGGGGGUUUCUCAAAGGGUUUCCAACAGAAUUUAUUGGCAUUCUGUCCACCUCAAAUACCCAAAACAAGGUUUAUCAACAAAAACCUUAAAAAUCACGAAAGCCCUUUGCUUUUUGUGUGUUGUGUUGUGUUGUUUGGUUUGUUCUUUCAACUUGGAGGUGGGCAUACUGCCAAUUGAGCUCUGUUUGGCUCCUCUUUGUAACACCCUCUUGAUCCCUACAUCCCUUCAUCAUCAUGUGGUACGAGGUUUCUGAUGUAGCCGGACGGCGGUGGCGAGUUUUUGUUUUUCCCGACGACCCAGUGUGGCGGCGGCGGCGGUGCAACUAUGCCACCCUUCUGCUACUGUCCCUAUUAAAACCUCCACGUUAAUUUAGUAUUGAAUUCCAUGAAAUCCAAGAGAUUAAGUGAAUGAAUGUAUUAGUUUUGUUGUUUGUUACAGGUUGAACCGUGUGGAUAAUUGGGAGGUGGAUCAUGAACACGAAAAUGGUGAGAUGGCGUGCGAAUUCUUGUCCCCAAAGUGAUGGCCCAGCUAGCUAAGGUGGUUUUUCUUGGGAGUGUUGGUGGGUGAUGGAAAGCCUUUUAUUUUCUAAUUUUAAUCUUUCAAAAAAAAAUAAUAAAACAAAGAAAUUCAUGUGUUUA